GUCUCCCUCGUUCUCCUUGAUUCUGAGCCCUGCCUAAUUUGGGGGUGUGUGGUUUAAUUAGCCAAUCAUAAUUAGGCCGUAGUGUAAUAAGGGGUAGGGUGUACUUCGGCUCCCCUCUUGCUUGUGACCCGUAGCCACGCCCCCUCCUGGUUGCCUCACUCCGUGCUCACAUGAGCAGGCAGCGUUGUGUGCCCCCCCCCUUUCUGUGCCGAAUGCCCUGUGUGUCCAGAUGAAAGCAUAAAGCUCUCCUCCGAGCGUCAGACUCACCUAUCGGGCCAUGUCGAGGAGCCCUGCUGUUUUGACUCCACUGCUGUGAGGUCCGGUCUAGCCUGUCACCCCGGCGGUGUUGUCUGUGUCAUCCUUUUGGAGUCGGCUUCGACGGCUAAUCGCAUUCAGGCUGCACGCUUGGUCCUGAACGCCAUGGUCUACUGGCCAGUGGUGUGGAUUAGGGUGGUGUCGUGAUUAACCGGCAUUAAACACUAUAUUAAUAUGGUCUCCCUCUAAUGGUUUAUUUAUUAUUCUGACCCAGGUUUGGACGGACUGCGGGUUGAAUCUCAGCUGUUUGUUCUUUUCUUGUUAUACAGUGAUUUCUGUUACUCAGUCAUUAUUUACUGAAUUGAUUUACUGUUUAAUUGGUUUGUUUGUUUGUUUGUUUGUUUGUUUUUGGUUAAGUUUGGUUAGGUUCUUGAUUUAUGUAUUUUUGUUAAUUUUGUUUACCUGCACCAGUAGUAGACCCACUGGCAGCUGGUAUUGUUUUCUUUCGUUGCCACUUAAUUGUUGCCAAUUUAUGGUUGAUUGUUUUCUUUUUCUUUUUGUUGAUUUGAAUCCCACUGAGUCUUCAUCUUGUCCUUUCAGGUGCUGAGAGCUGAAGGUGGUGGUCCUGGUGUCCUUGGUGGUGGGUCCCCUUCUGUGUGUGUGUGUGUGCGUGCGUCGGGCACCCCUGGUUUGUUCCUCCUGUUCGUGUGUUUGAGUUACGCAGGUGGUCCGGGUGCUCCUUCCCUGGGAUUCCUCUCACUGUGUUGACCUUCCCCUCAUCCCCACAAGUAGGCCUCAGCCCUGAUAGUGCUUCCCCCUCCUGGUAUGAAUGGUUGAUUUUAAGUAAAUUAGUCUUGUUAAAUAAAAUUGUAUUUUUACCAUCAGAACCACGUCUCCUUGCCACAUUUAUGACUAACCUGGCUGCCUUAUAAUUAACAAGGCAAUCUAUUUCCUCGGGUAUAACUCCCGAGGUGGCGUUGUCGGACAAUAGUAAAUAUUCCCCCCCC